CUUUAACUCUAAAUACUGCGGUGGGAUCUCUGUGGUUAAGGGAGGUGCAGUAGGUACAUUGAUGGUACCAACACGUUGUGGCAUAUGGUGUUCACAAUGACUUUUGCAAUUCUCUCCCCAACCCCCAAUUUCUCCUUUAAUCCAGUCUAGACGUGGAUUGUGUUUCUGGAGCCAAGGGAAGUAUCACAGGGCAGGAAGGGGAAGAAAUAAUCUGGAAAACCAAUUCCUCAGAAUGUAAGAUGCCUACUGAGACAGUGAUAGGUAAAGUUUCCUGAGUGAUGAGAGAUUGGGUAAGAGGUCUCCCAUCAAUGGCCUUAACUGCAAUGGGUCUAUCUUUCUGCCUCAAUGGCAGGAGAAGUUUAGCAGAGAAUUCUCUGUCUCUGCCUCUCCAUAGUUGAUCAUGGCCUCACACUGAAUAGUAGUUCUCCUACAAUGCAGAGUAACUUUUACAAGGAAAUGGUUAUUAGUCAAUUUGGGGGACAAAUACAUCACACCGAAGGUCUGUCCCCGAACGUGCCUGAUGUGCGCAUGUUUUCCAG